GUGCUCGCUUCAGGAGCACAUGCAAUAGAACUGGAAUGAUACAUAAAGAUUAGCAAGUCCCCUGCAAAAGGAUGACAUGCAAAUUUGUGAAGUGUUCCAUAUUACA
ensembl:snRNA U6 U6 spliceosomal RNA